rnacentral:lncRNA from 1 species
UACUAGUUACUUAAAACCAUUGUCUUAAGGUAAUCAUUUGGUCUUUUGUUCUGUAGUUUUACCAUCUAUGUUUGAAUUUUUGUCUAUUAUAUGAAUUUUGUUUGGAUGCAUCGAACUUGUAUCAUUUGAUUUGAAUUAUUAUCUGUGGCGGUCAAAUUAAAGUCUUAGAAGAAGAAAAAUAUUCGGUGGUAAACAGUAAACAUAUCAAUCAAUCAGAGUAAUUAUCGAUUUCAUAUUUGAAUUCUGAAAAUACAGAAUUUAGGCGUUGAUCAAGUCUUUCAAAUUUGUAUCACUUAGAAAGCCCUUCAAUCACGGAACACUAUAAAUUGAUAGUGAACAUCAGAACAUGAUUAUUCUUAAACCACUGCCAUAAUUAACUAUUGAGUCGUCAUCUUUUUUAUCUAUACAAGGGAAAAUUAUUUAUUAGAGUUUUAUGUUGUUUCUUACUGAUUUUUGUUUUCAUCAAACUUAAGAAUUUUUUUAAUGAGAAUUCGUAGGGAAUAGUUUAUUUUUUAAAACAUUUAACAUAUUUAAUUAGUAGGACUUGACUUUCCUUAAUAAAUCCUAGCUAGAGAGCUACAUAUGUUAUUUGUAAUUUUGUAAACUCAAUAUCCGUCGUGAGUGUUCAGAUAGUCGGAGGUUCUUACGGGAACAAAUUGUUACAAAGAUACAUGCGACUACAAAUUUAAGUAAGCACAUUAUAAAUUUUGGAUUCAUGCAUCCAUACCCUAUCCCAGUGGCGGAGGCAGCCAUUGUCUUGGUAGGGGUCAAUUUUUAUAGUAAAACUAAAAAUCUGUUUUGAACAAUAUUUUAUAGGAGUCAAUAAGCAUAUUUUAAACCAUUUUCCUGAAUUUUACUUAGAAUAUUACAAGUAAAUUAAAAUUUUCUACAAAUAAGGGUCAAUUGACCCCCAUAAUAACAAUAUACCUCCGCCCCUGCCCUAUCCAAAAUAUACAUUUAAUUGUUUUUCUUGUUCAUAACAAUAAUAUUCAUAAUUCCUUACAAAUUUGAUGUUUAUGUCUAACAAUUUUUUUAUAUAUAGAUUUUGAAAGAAUGUAAAAUUGUAUUCAACCAAAAAAAAUUGUUGUACAAUGAAUGAGUCAAAGAGAGUAGAAAGUUAUAGAGUUAAAAAAAAAAAACGCAGAAUCUAAGUUCUAGUUUGAGGCCACUUUCAUAGGGCACCUUUUGAAUGGUGCUGAGCUUGUUUCUUACACUUCUGUCAAUGAUGCGAGUGAGCUUUUGAGCUGGGGUGGGAGUGUCUUCGUGCCUUGUACCAAUUAUUUUCCUCCAUAUACUAUGUAACAAUAUUCUAUAUUUCAUGUUGUAUAUACUAGGCAUGUUCUUUUGUUGAUCGCUGGGAUUGAUUCCAGCGACUGAAAAUUAAAGAAGGAAAUGAGGAAUGGACAACACGUUUAUUACAAAAGUUCAGUCGCUGAUUGUUCGGAAGAGAGGACGUGUUUUGAUUUCUAGUCGCUGAAUUUUUUGACGACUCCUCCAUCAUUGUUGCUACACCUCCAUUUAUUCCAGCGACACUUUGCUUCAUGGGCUUUAGGUCAGGGCCGGGCCUUUCGGGUCAUAUAAGGUAACGAGUUCCAUUAUCCAUUGGGAUGAACAAUUUGAUUGUGGUUACCAUCAGGCCAAAGCUCUUCUUUUUUUUUUGCUCCAGGAAAAGUCUUCAUGUAGCACUAGGCUUCUCAAGCCUCUCCGUACAAUACAUCUCAAACCAAAUGUAAAACCGAAUCUUCUCUAAAGCUGUUGUUUUUUUGCUAAAUAUGUAAAUAUCAUAAAUGAAAGUUGAGGCUUUACACAAAAUAAAACCUAAGCAAGGGUAACCUUGGCAAAAAAAGUAAAAACAAGGUUACAAUAGAGUUAAGAAAGAUUUGAGGAAGUAAUCGGAUCCAAAGAAGUAUAAGCUUUUUGUAAGUGCGGAUGAGGUCAAAUAAAUUGCAGUAAAUUGCAGAAAGUAAACGAGACAAGAAAUUUGUUAACAAAGUCGGUUUUUCCUACUCCUCGGGACCAAGUCCAAAUUUCGAUUUCACUAGAACAAGAAAGCAAAUUACAACCAAUUCGCAAACGCGUAAAACAAGCACAACCCUCUUGAUUUACCGCUCCCUUCUAUAACGUGAAACCUUAAGGAUAAUCUCUACCCUUAACUAAACUCCCCCUUGAGUCUAGAUUUAAUCAGGAUAACCUAACCCUGAGCUAAACUCCCCCUGAGUCUAGACUUUAAUUCUUCAAGUCUCUGGACUAACCGUCACACACAAACGUUACACCAACAGACAAAUAAGUUUGAUCACACAAGCAUCAAACCG